rfam:Astyanax mexicanus chromosome 24, whole genome shotgun sequence.
GUAGGCUAUGGAGACAUGGUCCCAGUGACUAUAGGCGGCAAAGUUGUAGGUUCCUUGUGUGCAAUCGCUGGUGUGCUGACCAUUGCCUUGCCGGUGCCCGUCAUCGUAUCCAAC